rnacentral:ncRNA from 1 species
CCACCAGCAUCUCCACAGGCAGGUCCUGCAGCGAGCAGUGCGGCGACGGCAUGGAGCUCGUGAUUCCUCCACUCCCCGCACAGCACAACGCUGAGGCGUCCGCCUCCACGCGCUUUUCUGCCGGGGCCGGCUUGAUUUUGGGCGCUGCCUUCUCAGCUGGUCCCUGGCACUCCUGAAGACACUGCUUGCCUUCUGCCGCUGCCAUCUUAGCUGGGCGCUGGCGCUUCUGAGGGCACCGCUUGCCUUCGGCCGCUGCUGUCUCAGCUGGGCCCUGGCACUCCUGAGGACACCGACAUCGCCGAGAAGAGCCCAAGCGGCAGAGGCAAGUGCACUCCUCCAUGCCUCCACGUGUAACAGCCAACACAAUCCACCUAUGUCGUAUUUAAAAAAGUCUCUCUCACCCCUCCCACUGUGGAGUCAGCUCUCUGGCCACAGAAGCCUUGGGCUGCAGUGAGGUCUGAGCCAAUCAGAAGCCACGCUAGAGCCGCUUGCCCAUUGCGGCGGUGUGAUUGGUGGAUUCCAGCAUAAGAGCCUGUCUGUGGCUCCGACCCUGCCUGCCUGUGCCAAACAAUCUUCAACCCACACUUGCUGGAAGGAGCAAAACCGCUCCCAAGUCGCUCUCCUUCUCUUUCGCCCAUCCGAGUGUCGGGGGAGGGGGGGGGCGGGGGAAGGUUCGGGGUGGCGCCGGGGCGCGGGGGAAGGGGCACGGAGGGCCUGGGAGGACUGUCCCCAGUGCGCCCCUGGAGAAGUCACGCAGUAGGGCCCGGUGGGGGGGGGGGUUUGCAAGGCGCCACACCGCGGACCCAAGCGAGCGCACAGGGUCUGCAGCAAAGUCGGCCACCCAUCCGACCCGUCUUGAAACACGGACCAAGGAGUCUAACACGUGUGCGAGUCCGGGGCUCACAGGAAAGGUACCAUGGCGCAAUGAAGGUGAAGGACCGUCAGGGCCGAGGUGGGAUCCCGAGGCCUCUCCAGUCCACCGAGGGCGCACCACCCGCCCGUAUUGCCUGCCUUGCCGGGGAGGUGGAGCAUGAGCGCACAUGUUAGGACCCGAAAGAUGGUGAACUAUGCCUGGGCACGGCGGAGCCACAGGAAACUCUGGUGGAGGUCCGUAGCGGUCCUGAUGUGCAAAUCGGUAGUCCGACCUGGGUAUAGGGUUGAAAGGCUAAUCGAAUCAUCUAGUAGGUGGCUCCCUCCGAAGUUUCCCUCAGGAUAGCUGGCGUUCUCGCAAACACAGUUUUAUGCAGAAAAGCGAAUGAUUAGAGGUCCUGAGGCCAAAAUGAUCUCAACCUAUUCUCAAACUUUAAAUGGGUAAGAAGCCCGGGUGUAGAAUAGGAGUGCAUGGUGGGUCACUUUUGUUAGGCAGAACUGGCGCUUCCGGAUAAACGGAGCGCCGGGUUACGGCGCCCUAUGCCAACGCUCAUCAGACCCCAGAAAAGGUGUUGGUUGAUAGAGACAGCAGGACGGUGGCCACGGAAGUGGGAAUCCGCUAAGUUGUGUGCAACAACUCACCUGCCGAAUCAACUAGCCCUGAAAAUGAAUGGCGCUGGAGCGUCGAGCCCAUACCCAGCCCUCGCUGGUGGUCGGUCAGAGACAGGGGAACCGGAGCAAACCGGGCUGCACUUCGGCGGCGCCCGGCCCACACCCACGCCAAGCUACGCCACGACGACUAGGAGGGCCGCUGCGGUGAGCCUUGAAGCCUAGGGCACAGGCCCGGGUGGAGCCGUCACAGGUGCAGAUCUUGGUGGUAGUAGCAAAUGUUCAAACGAGAUCUUUGAAGGCCGAAGUGGAAAAGGGUUCCAUGUGAACAGCAGUUGAACAUGAGUCAGUCGGUCCUGAGAGAUGGGCGAGCGCCAUUCUGAAGGGACGGGUGAUGGCCUCAGUUGCCCUCAGCAGAUCUAAAGCGAGUCGGGUUCAGAUCCCCGAGUCCGGAGUGGCGGAGAUUGGCGCCACGAGGCGUCCAGUGCGGUAACACAACCGAUCCCAGAGAAGCCGGCGCGAGCCCCGAAGAGAGUUCUCUUUUCUUUGUGAAGGCCAGGGCGCCCUGGAAUGGGUUCGCCCCGAAAGAGGGUCCCAUGCCUUGGAAAGCGUCGCGGUUCCGGUGGCGUCCGGUGAGCUCGCGCUGGCCCUUGAAAAUCCGGAGAAGAGGUUGUAAAUCUCGAGCCUGGCCAUACCCAUAUGCUCCGGGGGUGGGAUGGGGGUUUCAGGACGGCGCCGGGGGCGGGGAGGGGGGCGGCGAGGACUUGGCUGCGUGGCGCCCAAGGCGGUGGUGCCGGGUAAGGGGGGAGGUCUCCCGCGGGGCUCUGGGGCUGAAACACAUGAGCGGGGUUUGGCCAGGGGAGGGGAGAAGCAGUGGCGACAGCGACUCCUGGCGUGAGCCUGGCCCUUCCCAUGGAUUGCCCCAGCUAUGGCAGGCAUCGCGGCCGCCCGCGGGGAACCAUUCAGGUGGCUGGUCCCGCCCGGGGUUGCAUUGGGCCUCGCCUGCAUUGCUGCUCCUGGCCGCGCACGCACGUGCGCACAGAUCCCCCCCCCCCCCCACAGGACCGCCCCUGGGGCCGUGGUUCCGAGUGGCCCCUCGCCCUGGCUGGCACCUAGCAGCCAGCUUCGAGCUGGUGCAGACCAGGGGAAUCUGACUGUUUAAUUCCAACGAAGCAUCCCGAAGGCCCGCAGCGGGUGUUGACACGACGUGAUUUCUGCCCAGUGCUCUGAAUGUCAAAGUGAAGAAAUUCAAUGAAGCGCGGGUCAAGGGUGGCAGCAACUAUGACUCUCUUAAGGUAGCCAAAUUCCUCGGCAACUAAUUAGUGAGGUGCAUGAAUGGAUGAACGAGAUUCCCACUGUCCAUACCUCCUAUCCAGCCAAACCACAGCCAAGGGAUCCGGCUUGGAGGAAUCAGCGGGGAAAGAAGACCCUGUUGAGCUUGACUCUGGUCUGGCACGGUGAAGUGACAUGAGAGGUGUAGCAUAAGUGGGAGGCCCACGGCGCCCAUUUCCUGAGUCUCGGGCAGGGGUGUGGAUUGGGCAUACGGGCCUUUCGGGCCGCAGGUGAAAUACCACUAUGAUCGUUUUUUUCACUGACCCAGUGAGGCGGGGGGUGGUGGGGUGGUGGGGGGAAGUCCCCCAGAUGGCCUGGCCCUGGCGGGGCGAAGAGCCCGUCCCGCCCUCUGCUGGUGGAGAGGCGCCAAUGCAAGCCAUCCUCCUGCAGCCAGAGCCCAGUGCCUGGACUUGAUGGGGGAAGGACAAGCAAGGGGCACGGUAAUAUACAAAAACAUACACAUUUUAUUCACAUCAACUUCAGCCUCUUCCUCCCAUGACCUCCAAGGCCAGCACAAAUACCCCUCUGCAAAGACCUGAGCAUUGCUUUCAUUUCACAGAGUGCCUUACACAGAUAUGUCCCACGCUAACCUUCUGCAUGUCCUGUCUCAAGUUUUCCAUGUGUGCUGCCUAAGCUAUCACGCUUUU